AGUGCCAUAUCUCCUUGCAGUUCUCGCCUGGUUUCACAUUGAAGCUAAUCAGGGUUGACCUGGCAAGUACCUGGAUGGGAGACUUUCUGGGGAAAAAUAAGGAAGUGGUAUUA
rnacentral:rRNA from 1 species